UUUAGCGGGAGUCCUGCUCGGGUUGGGGCGGGGCCUUGGAAAGGUGGAGACCAAACUGGAGGGUUUAGAAAGGCAGAGGCAGUUCCCCACGCCUGGUCUUUAUCCUGAAGCCCCGGGUGGGCUGCGCUUCCCUCCCACCCCUCUACAGACUCUGCUGCUGCAGAUUGCAAAGCAGGAGCUGGAGCGAGAGGCGGAGGAGCGGCGCGGAGAGAAGGGGCGCGCUCUGAGCACCCGCUGCCAGCCGCUGGAGUUGGCCGGGCUGGGCUUCGCGGAGCUGCAGGACUUGUGCCGACAGCUCCACGCCCGUGUGGACAAGGUGGAUGAAGAGAGAUACGACAUAGAGGCAAAAGUCACCAAGAACAUCACGGAGAUUGCAGAUCUGACCCAGAAGAUCUUUGACCUUCGAGGCAAGUUUAAGCGGCCCACCCUGCGGAGAGUGAGGAUCUCUGCAGAUGCCAUGAUGCAGGCGCUGCUGGGGGCCCGGGCUAAAGAGUCCCUGGACCUGCGGGCCCACCUCAAGCAGGUGAAGAAGGAGGACACCGAGAAGGAAAACCGGGAGGUGGGAGACUGGCGCAAGAACAUCGAUGCACUGAGUGGAAUGGAGGGCCGCAAGAAAAAGUUUGAGAGCUGAGCCUUCCUGCCUACUGCCCCUGCCCUGAGGAGGGCCCUGAGGAAUAAAGCUUCUCUCUGAGCUGAAA
rnacentral:sRNA from 1 species